CCGUGUUGGUUACGCUGCACGUGCUAAUACAUGCAGUCGAGCGGACAGAUGGGAGCUUGCUCCCUGAUGUUAGCGGCGGACGGGUGAGUAACACGUGGGUAACCUGCCUGUAAGACUGGGAUAACUCCGGGAAACCGGGGCUAAUACCGGAUGGUUGUUUGAACCGCAUGGUUCAGACAUAAAAGGUGGCUUCGGCUACCACUUACAGAUGGACCCGCGGCGCAUUAGCUAGUUGGUGAGGUAACGGCUCACCAAGGCGACGAUGCGUAGCCGACCUGAGAGGGUGAUCGGCCACACUGGGACUGAGACACGGCCCAGACUCCUACGGGAGGCAGCAGUAGGGAAUCUUCCGCAAUGGACGAAAGUCUGACGGAGCAACGCCGCGUGAGUGAUGAAGGUUUUCGGAUCGUAAAGCUCUGUUGUUAGGGAAGAACAAGUGCCGUUCAAAUAGGGCGGCACCUUGACGGUACCUAACCAGAAAGCCACGGCUAACUACGUGCCAGCAGCCGCGGUAAUACGUAGGUGGCAAGCGUUGUCCGGAAUUAUUGGGCGUAAAGGGCUCGCAGGCGGUUUCUUAAGUCUGAUGUGAAAGCCCCCGGCUCAACCGGGGAGGGUCAUUGGAAACUGGGGAACUUGAGUGCAGAAGAGGAGAGUGGAAUUCCACGUGUAGCGGUGAAAUGCGUAGAGAUGUGGAGGAACACCAGUGGCGAAGGCGACUCUCUGGUCUGUAACUGACGCUGAGGGAGCGAAAGCGUGGGGGAGCGAAACAGGA
rnacentral:rRNA from 1 species